rnacentral:misc_RNA from 1 species
UACGGAGGGUGCAAGCGUUGUCCGGAAUCAUUGGGUGUAAAGGGUACGCAGGCGGGCGUCUGCGUCCGGGGUGAAAUCCUGCCGCUUAACGGUAGAAGGGCCUCGGAUACGAGACGUCUUGAGUCCAGCAGAGGCCGGUGGAAUUCGUGGUGUAGCGGUGAAAUGCAUAGAUAUCACGAAGAACACCAGUGGCGAAAGCGACCGGCUGGGCUGGAACUGACGCUGAGGUACGAAAGCGUGGGGAGCAAACAGG